UACAGAGGGGGCAAGCGUUGUCCGGAAUUAUUGGGCGUAAAGGGCUCGUAGGCGGUCUGUCGCGUCGGGAGUGAAAACUCAGGGCUUAACCCUGAGCCUGCUUCCGAUACGGGCAGACUAGAGGUAUGCAGGGGAGAACGGAAUUCCUGGUGUAGCGGUGAAAUGCGCAGAUAUCAGGAGGAACACCGGUGGCGAAGGCGGUUCUCUGGGCAUGACCUGACGCUGAGGAGCGAAAGUGUGGGGAGCGAACAGG
rnacentral:rRNA from 1 species